UUUAUUUUUUAAUGUUUAUAUUAUUUGAAUGUUUUAUUCAAAUAAUAUAAAAAAUAAUAUAUAUAUUGACAUGGAUUAAACAAAGAUAUAUAUUAUUCUAUGUUGUAUAAACAAAUUGGCAAAAUAGAGAUGGAAGAUAAAAAUAUGGUCAAAGUAAUAAGAGUCUAUGGUGAAUGCCUAGGAGCUUUAAGGCGAAGAAGGUCGUGGUAAGCUGCGAAAAGCUUGGGGG
rnacentral:misc_RNA from 1 species